GGCAGGAUGUAGGGUUGCUAUGGGGCAGGAGAUAGGGUUGCUAUGGGGCAGGAUAUAGCGUUGCUAUGGGGCAGGAUAUAGCGUUGCUAUGGGGCAGGCUAUAGGGUUGCUAUGGGGCAGGAUAUAGGGCAGGCUAAAGGGUUGCUAUGGGGCAGGCUAUAGGGUUGCUAUGGGGCAGGCUAUAGGGUUGCUAUGGGGCAGGCUGGUUGGUUGCUAUGGGGCAGGCUAUAGGGUUGGUUGCUAUGGGGCAGGCUGUGGGCUAAAGCCUCUGCCCCCCCGCAUGGUCCAUGGAUUUGUGGGGCGCCCCAUGGCCACCCCGCAGUGACCCCAUGCCAGAGCCAGCGCCCGCUGCGCUCCCCACUGAAACCAUGGGCCUGGCCCCUGCCUGUGGGGCAGGCCCCUGAACGGGGGGGGACACGAA